ACUCUCAUGGUGUUGGCCUAUACUUUUUACCCUCCUCCCUCUUUUGUUUUCAUAUUCCUUCGGCUUUAGCCUCAAGAGAUCAAGAGAGAAAGAAGAACAAUUUUGACAAGAGAGGAGGCUCCAUCAAGGAUGUAUAAUUCCAUGCAUAUUUCGCAGGUUUUAGAUAAGCUUGUUCAUUGGUGGCUCACGAGGAUUGAUUGGAGGUUCUGACAGACUAUCACAAAUGUAGGAUAUCUUUGGAUGUCGUUUAAUUAGUACUUGUUUUCUGGACUGAACUUAGGCUACUUAUGCUCUGAUUGUGUAUUCACACAUAUUCUAGCAUUUGUCUUAACUUGUACUCU